UACGUAGGGGGCAAGCGUUAUCCGGAUUUACUGGGUGUAAAGGGAGCGUAGACGGCAUGGCAAGCCAGAUGUGAAAUACCGGGGCUCAACCCCGGGACUGCAUUUGAAACUGUUAAGCUGGGGUGUCGGAGAGGCAGGCGGAAUUCCUAGUGUAGCGGUGAAAUGCGUAGAUAUUAGGAGGAACACCAGUGGCGAAGGCGGCCUGCUGGACGAUAACUGACGUUGAGGCUCGAAAGCGUGGGGAGCAAACAGG
rnacentral:rRNA from 1 species